UACGUAGGAGGCAAGCGUUGUCCGGAAUCAUUGGGCGUAAAGAGCGUGUAGGCGGUCCGGUAAGUCGGCUGUGAAAGUCCAGGGCUCAACCCUGGGAUGCCGGUCGAUACUGCCGGACUAGAGUUCGGAAGAGGCGAGUGGAAUUCCCGGUGUAGCGGUGAAAUGCGUAGAUAUCAGGGGGAACACCAAUGGCGAAGGCAGCUCGCUGGGACGUGACUGACGCUGAGACGCGAAAGCGUGGGGAGCAAACAGG
rnacentral:rRNA from 1 species